rnacentral:tRNA from 1 species
AAAGGGAGACCCAAUUCAGGUAGGAGACGAAAAAAAAGUAGUCCCUACCAGGAAUCAAUCCCAAAAGGUCGGAGCGAGGCGAAAUUGGCUUUCAAACUAGGUUCUGGGUUCAAACAAGACCUGAAUCAGGAACAAGGGCUAUUAGCUCAGGUGGUUAGAGCGCACCCCUGAUAAGGGUGAGGUCCCUGGUUCGAGUCCAGGAUGGCCCACCUGCACAGGUGGCAAAAACAAGAGAAGCGAGGAAUCAGCACCUUAUCUUACUGACAUAGUAAGAGAGAAUGCUGGCUCUGAGUGAAGAGUCCAGAGGAACCUUGAAAACUGCAUAGAGCUAGGUGAAAAAGCCAAAAAAGAAGACCGCAAG